UCUAUGGCUAAUUUUGGUCAGCUUGUAGUUAGCUCUACCCUCUGAUUCUAAGCAAACUUUAUUGCCAGUCUCAAGGAGUGUCAUCAGAGUGAGAUCAGAAUAACCCACAACAAGCCUCGGAACAUCUUCUAGUCUCUUAUUUUGUGAAUCAAUAAAGAUCAACUCUACAAUAGAAAUGAUAUAUAUAGGUGCCUGUUCCUACCCGAGGCCAACAUUCAAAACUACCUCUUCAGGUAUUUUAUAAAUACUCCAUACACUAGAAGGAAUAGCUGCUGAAGGUUUUGGAGCUUCCACUGGGUCUCCACAGAGAAGGCAUUUUCUGGUUGGUUCCUGAAAGCCCUAUGUUUUAUAGGUGUAAAUAUCAUCUGCCCCAGGUCCUGCCCAUCCAGUCCUCUACAGCUCCCUUUCUUCCUCUCAGUCAGAGCCUGUGGCUGUUUGCAACUCUUUCUUGGUCAGUGUUCACUGCAGAAUUCUGGUGCUGGCCUUCAAAGCAAAGAUAUAUUCUGCUGCAAAGGAGCUGUCUACAGUGUGGAACCCAAACCAGGCCCCAGCAGUCACAGG